CGCCUCCUGCAAUACAACCAAGUAUAGGAGGUCCAGCCUGCCCGGUGACCACAAGUUCAACGGCCGCGGUAUUUUGACCGUGCAAAGGUAGCGCAAUCACUUGUCUUUUAAAUAGAGACCUGUAUGAAUGGCUAAACGAGGGCUUAACUGUCUCCCUUUUCAGGUCAGUGAAAUUGAUCUACCCGUGCAGAAGCGGGUAUAAUAAUACAAGACGAGAAGACCCUUUGGAGCUUAAGGUACAAAACUCAACCACGUCAAGCAACUUAACAAAAAGUAAAAACUUUGUGAAACAUGAGAUUUUACCUUCGGUUGGGGCGACCGCGGAGGAAAAAAAAGCCUCCAAGUGGACCGGGACAAACUCCUAAAACCAAGAGAAACAUCUCUAAGCCACAGAACAUCUGACCAAACAUGAUCCGGCCACCAGGACCGAUCAACGAACCAAGUUACCCUAGGGAUAACAGCGCAAUCCCCUCCCAGAGUCCAUAUCGACGAGGGGGUUUACGACCUCGAUGUUGGAUCAGGACAUCCUAAUGGUGCAGCCGCUAUUAAGGGUUCGUUUGUUCAACGAUUAAAGUCCU
rnacentral:rRNA from 1 species